UACGGAGGGUGCAAGCGUUAUCCGGAUUCACUGGGUUUAAAGGGUGCGUAGGUGGGCAGGUAAGUCAGUGGUGAAAUCUCCGGGCUUAACCCGGAAACUGCCAUUGAUACUAUCAGUCUUGAAUACCGUGGAGGUAAGCGGAAUAUGUCAUGUAGCGGUGAAAUGCUUAGAUAUGACAUAGAACACCAAUUGCGAAGGCAGCUUACUACCCGAAUAUUGACACUGAUGCACGAAAGCGUGGGGAUCAAACAGG
rnacentral:rRNA from 1 species